UACGUAGGGUGCAAGCGUUGUUCGGAAUUACUGGGCGUAAAGGGCUCGUAGGCGGCCAACUAAGUCAGACGUGAAAUCCCUCGGCUUAACCGGGGAACUGCGUCUGAUACUGGAUGGCUUGAGUUUGGGAGAGGGAUGCGGAAUUCCAGGUGUAGCGGUGAAAUGCGUAGAUAUCUGGAGGAACACCGGUGGCGAAGGCGGCAUUCUGGACCGACAUUGACGCUGAGGAGCGAAAGCCAGGGGAGCAAACGGG
rnacentral:rRNA from 1 species